AACGAACGCUGGCGGCAGGCUUAACACAUGAAAGUCGAACGCCCCGCAAGGGGAGUGGCAGACGGGUGAGUAACGCGUGGGAAUCUACCCAUCCCUACGGAACAACUCCGGGAAACUGGAGCUAAUACCGUAUACGCCCUUAGGGGGAAAGAUUUAUCGGGGAUGGAUGAGCCCGCGUUGGAUUAGCUAGUUGGUGGGGUAAAGGCCUACCAAGGCGACGAUCCAUCGCUGGUCUGAGAGGAUGAUCAGCCACAUUGAGACUGAGACACCGCCCAAACUCCUACGGGAGGAAGCAGUGGGGAAUAUGUGACAAUGGGCGAAAGCCUGACGCAGCCAUGCCGCGUGAAUGAUGAAGGUCUUAGGAUUGUAAAAUUCUUUUACCAGGGACCAUAAUGGCGGUACCUGGAGAAAAAGCCCCGGCUAACUUCGUGCAAGACGCCGCCGUAACAC
rnacentral:rRNA from 1 species